UACGAAGGGGGCUAGCGUUGCUCGGAAUCACUGGGCGUAAAGCGCACGUAGGCGGCUUUUUAAGUCAGGGGUGAAAUCCUGGAGCUCAACUCCAGAACUGCCUUUGAUACUGAGAAGCUUGAGUCCGGGAGAGGUGAGUGGAACUGCGAGUGUAGAGGUAAAAUUCGUAGAUAUUCGCAAGAACACCAGUGGCGAAGGCGGCUCACUGGUCCGGUACUGACGCUGAGGUGCGAAAGCGUGGGGAGCAAACAGG
rnacentral:rRNA from 1 species